CAGGCAUUGUAGGAGGUGUAGGUGGAUGCUUUAUGGUAAGUCCUGGAACUGGGGCACCAGUGUGGGGACUGGGGGCCAGUCGGGUGCCCCCAUGCCUUGCUGGGACUGGGGACACCCCAGUGACCAGUGACAUCUCCCCAUCUCUCUACAGAAACCAAAAUACCCUCCACCACCGAUGUCUGAGGUGGAGCUUCUGCAGGAGUGAUGCCCGGCUGCCCCUCUGGAUGCCCUGGCCUGGAUCUGGUGGUGACACUCGCGUCCUGUCCCUCUCCAGCGGCAUGAGGAGAUGAUCAUCCCUGGAGAACCCCCCUAAUUCCUUGGGAGCCCUGGGAAUUUCCCUGGAAUAAUCAAUAAACCCCUUCAGCAAAGCAAU
rnacentral:lncRNA from 1 species